GGAGAGACGGAGCCAGCCAUACUAAGGAGAGCUUAAGUUUGACCAGUUCUUACCCUCCCCGACUAAAUCGGUUUCAGUUAUGUACUGAAAUAUAAGAAUGGACAUUAGAGGGUUCUUUCAAAGAAAAACUCAGCACAAAGAGGGAGAGAGGAACAGAGAGGGAGAUGGAGAAUGAGGACAGAACAGAGAUGAACAAGAGCAGAACACCGUCCUGAUCGGCCCUGUCAUCUGUGAAGUCUGUGAACAGAUAAAUUACACACCAAGUGAAUUCUGAGUGUCCUUUCUCCACAACUAGAGCCCCAUUACACUGUCCUAAGGCGUAUUAUGUUUUAUCACCCUUUUUUGCUUUAAUGGAACCCAUAAUUCACAAAAUGAACAUCGUUCUGUACUCUAUAAUUCUCGAAACUAGUGACUGAGACUCGCUGGAAAGUGUUUACUGAGGUAAUGAAUCAAGUUAGAGGUGGGUCAUUUUCUUACCCUUGCUGGCCAGUAGACACGAUGAAGGAUUAAGGUACAUUUUUCAAUCCUGAAUAUGUCUUAUAUCUGAGAGCAGUGAAGCUUUCAGUAUGCUGUCAAAGGAUAAUAUUCAGUUGUCUACAAUAGGAGGAUUAUUUAAAAUGACGGUUUGCCUACAAAGUAUUUCUAUCUCAGGAAAAUUGCAGUCUUAUGAUGAAGUUAAUUUAAUUCCUUUUGUCAGAACAGUCUUAUGCUCUUUUCACUUUUUCUGUAAUUGGGAUCACAGAAUCAAAGUGGGUUUUAUUGCUUGCAGAAAUCUUCAGUUGUGCAGUGACUUUGUGUGUGUCCAGAGCCAUGACUAUUGAUUUUUAGAACUUAUUCAAAGAGGGGAAAGAUUUAGGUUUCUUGUAGCCUAUUGCUUUGCUAAUAAUAACUACACGUGUUGUCCAAUCAUGGCACAAUUACCAAGCAGACUCUCCUUUCAAUUUGUUCAAUAGCCCAGUAACAACCAAACAGCUUGGAGGUUUGAGAAAAUAACUUACACUCAAAGUCCUUCUUAAUGUUACACUCUAGACUUGAAUUCCUUGCUUGGUGUAGUACUUUAGUAGCGAAAAAUAAAACAGUUAACCUUUAAGAAUAGACAUCAUGAAACACUAAUGCGCUAAUUAAACUUCUGGAGGUGGGCCAUAUGCUUCCCAUUUAGAAAUGUUUCUGCUCUAUGCGAAUGCGUAAAGUCUCCAAAACUCAAUUUGCUGUGUUAAGAGGCAAAUUUGUUUCUUUCCACAAUUUUUAACACUCAUAAUAAACACCCAGACUCACUCAUAUCAUUUAGCAAAUUAUUGAAAUUGAAAUACCACUGCUCUGCUUGUUUUCUGGAAAAAAAUAAUACAUGAAAUGGUAAAGGGUACUUUCCAGUGCUCUGAACCAGCUGAGCGGUUUAGAAAAUGGAUGGAUGCUAAAUUUUACUAAGUGCUGGAGAAAUUAGUUUAUUAAUGUCAGAGACAGAGGGAGAAGGGAAGUCAUUAAGGAGAGAGAGGGUGGUAUUUUCAGCUUUGUGUGUCUUUGUGAGGGUAAUAUUGACUGACGGCGCAUUGAUUUACUUAAGUGCAAUACGUUAUGUGGCUGAAAUCAAUCACGGAAACCGUGGGUGAUCUCGUACACACCAUGUUUAACAUCACACAAAUGUUGGCUCAGUGUGUGGCACUGAUUCUGCCGUGGUCCUGUGGCGCUAAGUGGUUUUGACAAAGUGUUUUCUUUUUGACACUGUGGGGAGCGUUAAGUUUUCAGAUGCCGAAAUAGUUUCAUUGCCAAAUAGAGGCAGUUACAGACAGCGGUGAGCUGUUUUGGUGGGCUUGUCUGUCUGUCUCACACACACAAGUGCACUUGCCUUUAAGGUAAAUGCACACACGUAAACACCUGGGCAGGCAACAUGUAAAAGGUCUUGAAUCCUUCAGGCAUAAGAGCAAAGUCAGAAACUGAAAGAGGCACAAAACAGGAGUCACGCUGCUAACAGUGUCUAAACAUGGUUGUUUAUUUUUUUUAUGUCUAAGACAAUAAGGUCAGAAUAUUUUCACCAUCUGUCAUUUGCUUACAUGGGGUGCACAGCAGAAAAGUGUUUCCUUUACAAUAAAUGCAUUUGCAUUAGUAGGUGGUUUAGCUAUAUCCUGCAGGAGGCAGGAUACAUGAUGAUGAUUCUCUGUGUAUUAUCUGCACUAUUUCUUUCAGUUUCAGAGUUUCAGAUGGAGUCUCAGAUGAGGCUAAUGUCCGGUUCUAUUCUGUCUUUUCACAUGGACGACCUCUGCUGAAUAAAGUCUACAAAAGUAGAGUGAAAUAAUUUUAUCUCUGUGUUUUCAUCUCUAUAAAGUAAUUUCGUGU
ensembl:lncRNA